UGGGGAAUUGUUCGCAAUGGGCGCAAGCCUGACGACGCAACGCCGCGUGGAGGAUGAAGACCUUCGGGUCGUAAACUCCUUUCGAUCGAGACGAAUGGCCUCCGGGUGAACAAUCCGGAGGAGUGACGGUACCGAGAGAAGAAGCACCGGCUAACUCCGUGCCAGCAGCCGCGGUAAUACGGAGGGUGCGAGCGUUAAUCGGAAUUACUGGGCGUAAAGCGUGCGUAGGCGGCCCGCCAAGCCAGAUGUGAAAGCCCUGGGCUCAACCUGGGAACGGCAUUUGGAACGGGCGGGCUAGAGUUGGGUAGAGGGGGGCGGAAUUCCGGGUGUAGCGGUGAAAUGCGUAGAUAUCCGGAGGAACACCAGUGGCGAAGGCGGCCCCCUGGACCCAAACUGACGCUGAGGUACGAAAGCGUGGGUAGCAAACAGGAUUAGAUACCCAAGUAGUCCCUGAGCGGGCUGGCAAGGCGCAU
rnacentral:rRNA from 1 species